GGCUUCGUAGUUCAGCUGGUAGACCACUUGUCACAUCUGUCCAUGUUGCUUCUACCGUUGGUUCGAAUCCAGCCGAAGUCC